AUGCUCCUAUGUUGUGUUAAGUGUUGGCAGAUAUCCGGACCCCUCCCCUGGCGGUCCGGGCCUUGGACCCCGAAUUUUCCCUCCCCAUAGAGAUUCGGGGUUUUUUUUGCCUGAAA
rnacentral:sRNA from 2 species